GGGGGUGACCAGGUAUUGAUUGACGUAUAAAUGGUAUGUAGGCAUGUGGUCUAAUUUCAUCUAUGACUUAAAACUAUGGUGGAAAUCGAUAAAUGGCGACAUUUACAAAAACAUGGAACUUGCGGGUUUACUCGCAACUUCUAAAGUGGCAAUAGCAUAGCUAAAGUCACUACGGGGCUGAGGAUAUGUGCCUUGCAACAGAAAUCCCUACAAAGGCUGAUACCGCCCGCUAAGUGUAUCAAAAGUCAUGUUUUAGGCUCUACUUUAAUAUAAGUGAACUUCCCACAGUUUCGGUUAACAAUGGCAAAAUAGGAAUCCGAUAUUUGUUGGUUAUGAAUAAUCAAAUAAACAUGUAGUCUACGUAUGGUUUUGCGGACAAGACAUCGGUUCGACUCCGAUCACCUCCACUA
rnacentral:tmRNA from 1 species